CAGGAAAUAAAGCUAUCAAAGCGCAGAGAAAUAACAGAACUUGCAUUUUUCAAGUACAUUUCUCAGAAUUUACAUUUUAUUUCGUAGCUCUCAGUAGACAUUUGUGCCAAUUGAGAGGCUUUGUUCUGAAGUGGUUCUGGAUGUUUUUCCCAGAUUAGAUCUCUCUGGAAAGAUAUUCAUGUGGAGAAAAUUAGCCUGGGACAUAGCAGAAGAUUUCCAGGACUGUAUUUUCUGCUGGCAGAUGCAUUUCAGUGUGGCUGUGAGACCCUACCAAGGUGACCUGACAGUGUUUCAGAGGACGUCGAGCACUAAUUUUUCACACAAUGUCUGCCUGUGUGCGGAGAAGCGGAGAGGAGAGGAGGAACCAGCCCCAAGGCUGGCUGCAGAAACUCCCUGCAGUCAUCCCCUCGCUGCCGUAGAGAAGUGGAGCUGAAGCACCCUCCUGUACCUCGGGAAACUGCUCCGCCUCAUCUCCCUUUGCUGUGGACUGGGGAGACCAGCCUUCAUUUACGAUGACAUUGUUCACUCGGCAUGCAAAGGUCUGCCGUGCAUUUGCAGCCUGGUGCAGCACCAUACAGUGGCAGAAGUGAAGUGCUGCAGCCUAAAGAAACGCUUUAAAAUCUGUUUCUCUGGAGAAAA
ensembl:lncRNA